CCUCCCCUACAAUGGGCAUGAGGGGGGUGAAGAGAAUCACAGGCUCCCAUCACCGGGCCUUGGGAGAGGUCUCUGGCCUGCUCUAAGAAGAUCCUGCCAAAAGCCAGAAGGCGUAUGGACUGAUAGGCCAGUUUCUCACCUCCAGAAAUUGUUCUCCUUUUCUGGAAGAUUCAUCGCUCAUUGUUGAAGAUGCCACAUAAACCAGAUUUCAAAGCCACCACUUUGGCUUCCAUUUCAUCGAG